rnacentral:rRNA from 1 species
UACGUAGGGUGCAAGCGUUGUCCGGAUUUAUUGGGCGUAAAGAGCUCGUAGGCGGUUAGUCGCGUCGGAUGUGAAAUCCUAGAGCUUAACUCUGGGCCUGCAUUCGAUACGGGCUGACUCGAGUAUUGUAGGGGAGACUGGAACUCCUGGUGUAGCGGUGAAAUGCGCAGAUAUCAGGAAGAACACCGGUGGCGAAGGCGGGUCUCUGGGCAAUUACUGACGCUGAGGAGCGAAAGCGUGGGGAGCAAACAGG